CUCGAUGUAUUUUUCAUAACAGCUCUGUCAGCCGACGAAAGCACACAGGUCCGUUAUGAAAAUAUCACAGAGU